rfam:Euroglyphus maynei isolate Arlian Lab scaffold62234, whole genome shotgun sequence.
AAAACGGUCCUUUUUAGGACCACAUUUUCAUUCCAUUGAGAUUCG